CGUACACAGGUGCUGCAUGGCUGUUGUCAGCUCGUGUCGUGAGAUGUUGGGUUAAGUCCCGCAACGAGCGCAACCCCUGCAUUCAGUUGCCAUCGGGUAGAGCCGGGCACUCUGGAAGGACUGCCAUCGACAAGAUGGAGGAAGGUGGGGAUGACGUCAAGUCAUCAUGGCCCCUAUGUCCAGGGCGACACACGUGCUACAAUGGCCGGCACAACGGGAAGCGAGUUCGCGAGGACAAGCGGAUCCCUCAAAGCCGGUCGCAGUUCGGAUUGAAGUCUGCAACUCGACUUCAUGAAGCUGGAAUCGCUAGUAAUCGUGGAUCAGCCAAGCCGCGGUGAAUACGUUCCCGGGCCUU
rnacentral:rRNA from 1 species